rnacentral:lncRNA from 1 species
AUGAUGUAUUGUGUAAGGAAGAACUGAUAUAUCUCAUGUCUUGUGUUAUGAUGUAUUGUGUAAGGAAGAACUGAUAUAUCUCAUGUCUUGUGUUAUGAUGUUUGCAAUAUAUUUAGAAAUCCAAAGUGAUAUUUGUGUAGAGUACAGGAGAAGUGCAUGUGAAGUAUAAUGAAACGCAUUACAAUUCAUAUAAUUAUGAAGUUUGGAGACAGCAACCAAGUGACGUAAAAAUGUAAUGACAUAUAUUAAGUUUUUCUGAGUUGCUCUGUGUAGUGUGUAAUGACAUAUUUUAUGUUUUUUUAGUUGCUCUGUGUAGUGUGUAAUGACAUAUUUUAUGUUUUUUUUAGUUGCUCUGUGUAGUGUGUAAUGACAUAUUUUAUGUUUUUUUUAGUUGCUCUGUGUAGUGUGUAAUGACAUAUUUUAUGUUUUUUUUAGCUGCUCUGUGUAGUGUGUAAUGACAUAUUUUAUGUUUUUUUUGUUGCUUUGUGUAGUGUGUAAUGACAUAUUUUAUGCUUUUUUGAGCUGCUGUGUGUAGUGUGUAAUGACAUAUUUUAUGUUUUUUGUGUUGCUUUGUGUAGUGUGUAAUGAUAUAUUUUAUGCUUUUUUGAGCUGCUCUGUGUAGUGUGUAAAGACAUAUUUUAUAUUUUUUUGAGCUGCUCUGUUUAGUGUGUAAUGACAUAUAUUAUGUUUUUUGUGUUGCUUUGUGUAGUGUGUAAUGACAUAUAUUAUGUUUUUUGUGUUGCUUUGUGUAGUGUGUAAUGACAUAUUUUAUGUUUUUUGUGUUGCUUUGUGUAGUUUAUAAUGACAUAUUUUAUGCUUUUUUUAGCUGCUCUGUGUAGUGUGUAAUGACAUAUUUAUGUGUUUUUGAGCUGCUCUGUGUAGUGUGUAACAAGUGAAACUGUGAGCUACUGCUCACUGAUGAUACCCCCCCCGCAAGUGGAUAAUAUUAAUAGUGUAAAAAUAUGCAAGUGUUCGGUAAACAGGAAGUUGUCGAGUGAUGAAUCUGAACACGCAUCACACGGUAUAGCUGACUUAUAAAAAUCCUGAAACCAAAUUUCUGAAAUCCUUGUAUUGUAGUUCCUGAGAAAAAUGUGACGAAAAAUUUUUUAACUUGGUUAUCAUGUGUAAAAUCAUACAAGUGUUCGGUAAACAGGAAGUAGUCGAGUGAUGAAUCUGAAAACGCAUCACAGGGUAUAGCUGACUUAUAUAAAUCCUGAAACCAAAUUUCAGAAAUCCUUGUAUUGUAGUUCCUGAGAAAAAUGUGACGAAAAUUUUCAACUUGGUUAUCAUGUGUAAAAUCAUACAAGUGUUCGGUAAACAGGAAGUUGUCGAGUGAUGAAUCUGAAAACGCAUCACACGGUAUAGCUGACUUAUAUAAAUCCUGAAACCAAAUUUCAGAAAUCCUUGUAUUGUAGUUCCUGAGAAAAAUGUGACGAAAAUUUUCAACUUGGCUAUCAUGUGUAAAAUCAUACAAGUGUUCGGUAAAUAGGAAGUUGUCGAGUGAUGAAUCUGAAAACGCAUCACACGGUAUAGCUGACUUAUAUAAAUCCUGAAACCAAAUUUCAGAAAUCCUUGUAUUGUAGUUCCUGAGAAAAAUGUGACGAAAAUUUUCAACUUGGCUAUCAUGUGUAAAAUCAGACAAGUGUUCGGUAAACAGGAAGUUGUCAAGUUAUGAAUCUGAAAACGCAUCACACGGUAUGGCUGACAUAUAUAAAUGUGGAUACCAAAUUACAGAAAGGGUGGAUGUGUAGUUCCUGAGAAAAAUGUGACGAAAGUUUCAUGGGACGGACUGACUGACAGACUGACGGACGGACGGACUGACAGACAGAGGUAAAACAGUAUACCCCCCCCUUUUUUAAAGCGGGGGUAUAAUGACAUAUUUUAUGUUUUUUUGAGUUGCUCUGUGUAGUGUGUAAUGACAUUUUAUGGUUUUUUUUAGUUGCUCUGUUUUAGUGUUUAUGACAUGUUUUAUGUUUUUUUUGUUUCUGUGUAGUGUUUAAUGUUUUUUUUUUAAGUUGCUCGUGUAGUGUGUAAUGACAUAUUUUAUGUUUUUUUAGCUGCUCUGUGUAGUGUGUAAUGACAAUUUUAUGUUUUUUUAGUUGUUCUGUGUAGUGUGUAAUGACAUAUUUUAUGUUUUUUUUUUAGUUGCUCUGUGUAGUGUGUAAUGACAUAUUUUAUGUUUUUUUGAGCUGCUCUGUGUAGUGUGUAAUGACAUAUUUUAUGUUUUUUUGAAGUUGCUCUGUGUAGUGUGUAAUGACAUAUUUUAUUUUUUUUAGUUGCUCUGUGUAGUGUGUAAUGACAUAUUUUAUGUUUUUUUUAGCUGCUCUGUGUAGUGUGUAAUGACAUAUUUUAUGUUUUUUUAGCUGCUCUGUGUAGUGUGUAAUGACAUAUUUUAUGUUUUUUUGAGUUGCUCUGUGUAGUGUGUAAUGACAUAUUUUAUGUGUUUUUUUUAGUUGCUCUGUGUAGUGUGUAAUGACAUAUUUUAUGUUUUUUUUGAGUUGCUCUGUGUAGUGUGUAAUGACAUAUUUUAUGUUUUUUGAGUUGCUCUGUGUAGUGUGUAAUGACAUAUUUUAUGUUUUUUUUUGAGUUGCUCUGUGUAGUGUGUAAUGACAUAUUUUAUGUUUUUUUGAGUUGCUCUGUGUAGUGUGUAAUGACAUAUUUUAUGUUUUUUUGAGCUGCUCUGUGUAGUGUGUAAUGACAUAUUUUAUGUUUUUUUUGAGUUGCUCUGUGUAGUGUGUAAUGACAUAUUUUAUGUUUUUUUUUAGUUGCUCUGUGUAGUGUGUAAUGACAUAUUUUAUGUUUUUUUGAGUUGCUCUGUGUAGUGUGUAAUGACAUAUUUUAUGUUUUUUUUAGUUGCUCUGUGUAGUGUGUAAUGACAUAUUUUAUGUUUUUUUAGUUGCUCUGUGUAGUGUGUAAUGACAUAUUUUAUGUUUUUUUUAGCUGCUCUGUGUAGUGUGUAAUGACAUAUUUAUGUUGUUUUUUAAAGCUGCUCUGUGUAGUGUGUAAUGACAUAUUUUAUGUUUUUUUUUAGCUG